rnacentral:lncRNA from 1 species
GUAUGCGAUCUCGAAGUAUAUACAAACAUGUUUGACGGUUGGAUCAUUGAAACUAGUUGUGUAUAAUGAGCAUCCCAUCAAAACAAUAGAUUCACUAAUACUUAAGAGUUUAUUCAUACUUUUAUUAAGUGUAACAUAAGAUUUUGUGGUAUCCACUUGUGUAAAUAUUUUAAAUUGAAGAUCGAAUUCAAUCAUUGUAUUCAUAUAGGGUCAAGGAGUGUGGUUGUAAAAAAUCAUCAAAAUCAGAGUUAAAAUGACCGUUAAAUCGUGAUUUUUCGUUUAUAACCGUCAAAAAGUUUUGUCCCGUUACUUGCUCUCUGAAUGUUUGUUUUUUUGCAAUUUUUGGCGUAUGCGAUGCGAUCUCGAAGUAUAUACAAACAUGUUUGAUGGUUGGAUCGUUGAAAUUAGUUUCGUAUAAUUCGUAUCCCAUGAAGUUCAAUGGUGU